UACGGAGGGUGCAAGCGUUAUCCGGAUUCACUGGGUUUAAAGGGUGCGUAGGCGGCCCGUUAAGUCAGUGGUGAAAUCCCAGGGCUCAACCCUGGAACUGCCAUUGAUACUGACGGGCUUGAGUUCGGUUAAGGCGGGCGGAACUGGUGGUGUAGCGGUGAAAUGCAUAGAUACCACCAAGAACCCCGAUUGCGUAGGCAGCUCGCUGAGCCGAAACUGACGCUGAGGCACGAAAGCGUGGGGAGCGAACAGG
rnacentral:rRNA from 1 species